rnacentral:rRNA from 1 species
UACGUAGGGGGCAAGCGUUGUCCGGAAUCAUUGGGCGUACAGCGCGCGUAGGCGGCCCUGUAAGUCCGUUGUGAAAGUCAAAGGCUCAACCUUUGAAAGCCGAUGGAUACUGCAGGGCUAGAGUCCGGAAGAGGCGAGUGGAAUUCCUGGUGUAGCGGUGGAAUGCGCAGAUAUCAGGAGGAACACCGGUGGCGAAGGCGGGUCUCUGGGCAGUAACUGACGCUGAGGAGCGAAAGCGUGGGGAGCGAACAGG